CGGGGCGUAGCGCAGUGGUAGCGCGCUUGGUUCGGGACCAAGAGGCCGGAGGUUCGAUCCCUCUCGCCCCGACCA
rnacentral:tRNA from 2 species